rnacentral:rRNA from 1 species
CUCCGGGCUUUGUUUGCGCAGGAUAGGUGGGAGGCGUUGAUAAUUUUCUUGCGGGAAGAUUGGAGCCAUUGGUGAGAUACCACUCUAACAAUGCUAGGAUUCUAACCCUAUACCGUUAUCCGGUUAGGGGACAGUUUCAGGUGGUCAGUUUGACUGGGGCGGUCGCCUCCCAAAAGGUAACGGAGGCGUGCAAAGGUUUCCUCAGGCUGGUCGGAAAUCAGUCGUAGAGUGUAAAGGCAUAAGGAAGCUUGAUUGUGAGACCUACAAGUCGAACAAAGACGAAAGUCGGCCUUAGUGAUCCGACGGUUCCGAGUGGAAGGGCCGUCGCUCAACGGAUAAAAGUUACUCUAGGGAUAACAGGCUGAA